UAUAGAGGGUGCGAGCGUUGUUCGGAAUUAUUGGGCGUAAAGGGCGCGUAGGCGGUGCCACAAGUCACUUGUGAAAUCUCCGGGCUUAACUCGGAGCCUGCAGGCGAAACUGUGGUGCUGGAGUGUGAGAGAGGUGCGUGGAAUUCCCGGUGUAGCGGUGAAAUGCGUAGAUAUCAGGAGGAACACCAAUAGCGAAGGCAGCUCGCUGGGACGUUACUGACACUGAGGCGCGAAAGCGUGGGGAGCGAACAGG
rnacentral:rRNA from 1 species